rnacentral:rRNA from 1 species
CAAUAGCGUAUAUUUAAGUUGCUGCAGUUAAAAAGCUCGUAGUUGGAUUUCGUGUGGGAAUGGCCGGUCCGCCGUUUCGGUGUGCACUUGCUACGCCCACCUUGCUGCCGGGGACGUGCUCUUGAGUUCACGCUCGGGACACGGAGUCGGCGAGGUUACUUUGAGUAAAUUAGAGUGUUCAAAGCAGGCCUACGCUCUGAAUACAUUAGCAUGGAAUAACACGAUAGGACUCUGGCCUAUCUUGUUGGUCUGUAGGACCGGAGUAAUGAUUAAGAGGGACAGUCGGGGGCAUUCGUAUUUCAUUGUCAGAGGUGAAAUUCUUGGAUUUAUGAAAGACGAACUACUGCGAAAGCAUUUGCCAAGGAUGUUUUCAUUAA